ensembl:lncRNA
GUGAAAAUGAUGAGAAUACAAGUCUAAACAGUAGAGAUAGAGAUAUCCAAAGCCAAGAGGUCACAGGCACAGCCACGGAGCAGGCCCUACGUAGGGGUAGUUGUAGGGGUGUAGUGAAUGGAGUGUUGGACACAGCCAGAGAACAGCAGGACUUGGACAGUAUGGAGCAUGUCAAUGGUAGACCCAAUGGUACUGAUGAAGCCAAGAGUAGAGAAACCAGAGAUGACAUCAGCACUGAGACGAACCCAGUCGUGAUUGGUUAGCCUCCAGGAGUCCCAGCCAGGAGCCCCAGCCAGGAGCUCCAGCCAGGAGCCUGUCAGUGCCAGAGGCUUCCUCCAGGUAGAGUUGGCUCAGCUCUACCCUGCAGGGCCUGUAAAUCUCCCUGCCUCUCACUCGUGUGUCGUCUCCCUCAAGCUCCACCGACUCUACCAGACCGCAGAGUCCCUCUCACACUUAUAUUCAUGACAGAGACGUCAGUACAUCUGUGGAUAUUUACCACCAAUUUUUCACUUGAUCUUGAAAUGGUAUAAAUGGUAUUCUGACAGCAGCUGUGCCCCCUGGUCUUACUGCCGGUAGUCAAUUUGAAUUGUAGGUGAAUGGAAAUACGAUGUUUGGCUCCAAUCUGAUCUGAUCAAUCUGAUGAAAUAAAG